UACGUAGGGCGCAAGCGUUGUCCGGAAUUAUUGGGCGUAAAGAGCUCGUAGGCGGUUUGUCGCGUCUGCUGUGAAAACCUAAGGCUCAACCUUGGGCUUGCAGUGGGUACGGGCAGACUAGAGUGCGGUAGGGGGUGACUGGAAUUCCUGGUGUAGCGGUGGAAUGCGCAGAUAUCAGGAGGAACACCGAUGGCGAAGGCAGGUCACUGGGCCGCAACUGACGCUGGAGGAGCGAAAAGCAUGGGGAGCGAACAGG
rnacentral:rRNA from 1 species